rnacentral:rRNA from 1 species
GAUGAACGCUGGCGGCGUGCCUAAUACAUGCAAGUCGAGCGAACAGACGAGGAGCUUGCUCCUCUGACGUUAGCGGCGGACGGGUGAGUAACACGUGGAUAACCUACCUAUAAGACUGGGAUAACUUCGGGAAACCGGAGCUAAUACCGGAUAAUAUAUUGAACCGCAUGGUUCAAUAGUGAAAGACGGUUUUGCUGUCACUUAUAGAUGGAUCCGCGCCGCAUUAGCUAGUUGGUAAGGUAACGGCUUACCAAGGCAACGAUGCGUAGCCGACCUGAGAGGGGGGUCGGCCCCACUGGAACUGAGACGCGGGCCAGACUCCUACGGGAGGCAGCAGUAGGGAAUCGUCCGCAAUGGGCGAAAGCCUGACGGAGCAACGCCGCGUGAGUGAUGAAGGUCUUCGGAUCGUAAAACUCUGUUAUUAGGGAAGAACAAAUGUGUAAGUAACUAUGCACGUCUUGACGGUACCUAAUCAGAAAGCCACGGCUAACUACGUG